GCUUGGGUGGCUCAGUUGGUUAGAGCGCAGGUCUCAUACGUUUGUAUGAGGGUUUAACUUCAAACCCGUAAUCCUGAUCCUGAGGUCAUGAGUUCGAUCCUCAUCCCGAGCA